GUUUGAUAUCAGGAGUUCGAGACCAGCCUGGGAAACAUGAAAAAACCCUGUCUCUACAAAAAAUACAAAAAUUAGCUGGGCACGGCGGCGCACACCUGUAAUCCCAGCUACUUGGGAGGAUCUCCUGAGCCCAGGAGGCCGAGGCUGCAGUGAGCGGUGAUCGUUCCACUGCAAGUUAAACAUAAACUUGCCAUAUGACCCACUUGUUCUGCUCUUAGGCAUCUAACCAAGAAAAUGAAAAACACUUGUAUGCAACUGUUCAUAGCAAUGUUGUUCAUAAUGGCCAAUAAGUAAAAGGAAUCCAAAUAUCCAUCAGCUAGUAAAUUAGUAAACAAAAUGCAGUUUAUACAUACAGUGAAUUCUAUCCAGUAAUCUAAACAAAUGAUCUACUGAUUUAGAGCACAGAAACAUUAUGUUAGACACAAAGGUUAUAUAUUUUAUGACUCCAUUUAUAUGAAAUGUCUCUAAAAGAAAAAUUCACACUGACUGAACACAAAGUAGUAGGAUUUGGGGGUAGAAACUGAGAUUGACUAAAAUUCCUUCUCAGGGAAGUUUUGAAAUGAUGGAAAUACUCUAAUACUGAAUUGUGGUAACACUGGCAAAACUGUAAGUUUAAUAAAAAUCACUGAAUUAUAUACAUAGGAUAGAUGAAUUUUAUAGUAUUAAAAUUACACCUCAACAAAAUUGUUUUUAAAACAUAAGCCAUAAAAGGCUAAAAAUUUUAAGAGGCUAAUCUUUUUUUUUUAAAUCCUGGAAUGUGGAAGGCCUACCUCAAAUAAUAUGUAAAUAUUUAAAAACCGUAAGUAAAAUGAUUGAUGGAUUUGACUACUUGAAAUUAAAUAAAACUAUGUUAAAAAAGAAAUUUUAAGCUAAUGAUAAAUUAAAAGUCAAGUUAUAGACAAGAGAAACAAAUUCCACCUCAUAUAGGAGCCAAUAGGGUUAGAUUUUUCAGGCAACAAGAAAGCCAGGGCAGGGGACAGAAUGAAUUGAAGGGACAACGACAGCAGCAGGAAGCCCUCAGGUGGGAAUGCUGAGCAGUCCAGAUGAGAGAAGUUGAUGGUUUGGACUACUGUGCUAACAAUUGCGUCACAGAGAAAUGAGUGAGUUAAUACUAUCUAUUUGUGUGGGAGCUGAAAGAAUGAAAAAAAAAAAAAAGAAGGAAUCUUAUAAUUUUGGUUUGAUCACUUAACUACAUUUUCGUGCUAUUUACUGAGAUUGGGAGAAGAUAUCUGAAGAGAAAGUAAUUCUGCUUUUGUUAAACCACCUCACAGCAUUUGUGAUUAGGACAAAUGUGCAUUUUUUUUCUGUGCCAGGCUUGUUACCUCCUUAAUCUAUCGUACUAGGUCUUCUCUAAGCCAAAAGCCUUAUUCUCCAUCUUCCCAAAUAUGUCUCAUCUGGUCGCAAAAAUCUUAAAUAAAAUGUUAGUUACUCAAAAAGGUCUUAUGUCUCACCAAAUUUUACUUAGUCAAUAUUGAAUUUCAAUUAACUUUCUAACUAUUUGACAUCACAGUCCUGUUUGAUUUUCUAGGUGUCCAUAGAUCAACAUUUACCAAGCUGAUGUUUACUAAGCAUCACACCAUAUCCUGCAUCAUGCAAUGGUUCAGUGAUACCAGAACCUGAAAUUCUAAUAAAAAGAAUCAAUAAGGUAACAAAAUAAGGCUAACCUAGACGUGGUUUCAGCAGCUCAUAGAGAAGCAAGGGAAAGAUGUGCAAACAACCUCCUAAAGUCUUAGAAGUGAAUCCAUCACUACUAACACACUCAAUUGGAGAAGUUCAGAAUAAAAAAGACCCUAGAAGGAGAAGGUAUCUGAUUGAAGAAGUCUGAUUGCUUCUGGGAAGUGAAGUGGAAGUCUGGCCGUGAAUGUAAAGUGCUCCUGGCUACAGCUCUUCAGAGCAAUUUUUCUUGCCCUGUCAGGUUGGGUCUCCUUGGAAGAAGAGUCUGAGAUGGAGGUUAACAAGCAAAAAUUUUUUAGGGUGUCUCUGACUGAUUCAUAUUUACUGUGGUAAAUAUUAUUUCCUAUCUCAGAUGGUAAGUGGAGGAAUUUCAAAGAAUUCUACUUGGUUUUCCCCACUGUAAUAAUGUAACCUCAUUGACUAAGGAACUAAUAAA
rnacentral:lncRNA from 1 species